rnacentral:rRNA from 1 species
UACAGAGGGGGCUAGCGUUGCUCGGAAUCACUGGGCGUAAAGGGUGCGUAGGCGGGUCUUUAAGUGAGGGGGGAAAUCCUGGAGCUCAACUCCAGAACUGCCUUUGAUACUGAAGAUCUUGAGUUCGGGAGAGGUGAGUGGAACUGCGAGUGUAGAGGUGAAAUUCGUAGAUAUUCGCAAGAACACCAGUGGCGAAGGCGGCUCACUGGCCCGAUACUGACGCUGAGGCACGAAAGCGUGGGGAGCAAACAGG